AAACAAACUGACGUAGUUGUCAUGGAUUUUUCAAAAGCGUUUGAUAAGGUGGACCACCAAAGACUUAUCCUAAAACUGAAACGCAUGGGAAUAAAUAUAACAAAACAACAAAUUGGAUAGAGGCAUGGUUAUCACAUAGAUCCCAAAAAGUGGUGGUUGACAGUCGCACAUCAAAUAGUUGUCCUGUAUUGUCAGGCGUCCCCCAAGGCUCUGUUCUCGGGCCAUGUCUGUUCUUAAUUUACAUCAAUGACAUGCCAGACAACCUCAAAAGUAAUGUUCGCCUCUUUGCAGAUGACACUAUUGUGUAUCUAACAAUUUCAUCAUUAGAUGACUGUCACACCCUUCAAUCAGACCUACAUAAACUGGAACAAUGGGAGCAAGAAUGGCUUAUGUCCUUUAACCCAGACAAAUGUGAAAUCAUCCACAUAACAAGAAAACAUAAACCUAUCAUCUAUAAACUACCAUUACAUAAUCAUAUUCUAAAAUCAACAAACAAAGCAAAAUAUCUUGGCGUUUCCAUCACAAAAGACCUGACAUGGAACUCUCAUAUAAAUGACAUCACAAACAAAGCAAACGCAUCACUGAGAUUUAUUAAAAGAAAUGUAAAAACAAACAGCAUAAAAACAAAAGAACUGGCUUACAAAACAUACGUAAGACCAAAAAUAGAAUACUGUAGUGUCGUCUGGGACCCGUGGCAGAAACAACAAAUACAUAAAAUUGAAAUGGUACAGAGAAGAGCUGCCAGGUAUACACUCAACCAAUACAGCUAUCAAAGCAGUGUAACAGCCAUGCUUGAACAUCUAAGAUGGCCAACAUUACAACAAAGAAGAAAUCUUGCAUCCGUCACCAUGCUAUAUAAAAUCCAACA
rnacentral:lncRNA from 1 species